CGCAGAAAUGUGCACAGUUAAGGUUGCAUAUCAAUGUAAACAGACAGGCCUUAUUACUUUUAAUAAUGAUUAUAUAACUGGUAUCAUUAAUUGGAGAAGGGGACAAAUGUUAGUCAUUAUGAACGACACUGCAAUUGAGAACUAUACACUACCUUAUAUUUUUACACCUUAUUACUGUCCUUCAUCCACUAUCAUAGAACCAAAAGUCAAACACGACACACACACACCUAUUCCGUCCACAUGUGUUAAUACAACUGCCUUCUUACAAGCUGUACAUGUGUCAUUAAAAGUCACUACUCCUGUUGUAACAUUAUGUAAUACAACAAACAAAGGCAGAAAAGGGAAUGGUAUGACACACUGUUAGGAGGUGCUGGAACCACUAUGGGUAUACUAAAUAGUUAUAGAUAUGGAGACCCUCAAGAAUAAGUUAAACACAGCCAGCAUGCAUAUAGGGACUGGUUUUCAUGCUACUGCAAAUUGGGCUCCAAUUGUUGUUAAAUCACAGGUUAUAGGAUUGGAUUUAGAUAAAUCAAUGUAUAAUUAUUUAGAUAAUUUAACUGUUGCAACUAUGAAAUUCACUACAGAUCUAAGUAACUGGAGUACUUGUGCCAUCAGGUAUUUAUGGAUACAACAACAAGGAUUGGCAUUAGAAAACACACUAAUGAUUCCUCAACUAGAGAAGAUUAGAGGGAUGCUUAACCUCACAGAUAAUGAAUGGUUACUUCUAAAACCCCAAUCCACUAAAUGCAAUGAAUGGUUAACUGGUAAUGUUUCACAUUUUUCAUGCUCUUGCUAUUUUACAUUAUAUCAUACAUCAUCAAAGGAUGUUAAAUUAGCUUGUCAAUUUAACACAUUACCAGUACCAGUUUAUGAUCUUUUUGCCAAGAAUUUAACCUGGUGGGCACCCACAUACACAGGGGACUAUAUGUUUUCCCAAAGAUAACACACACAGGUAGCCACACAUAUCCUAAAAGGAGAACUCCUUAAGGUGAGUUCACAAAUUCAGAAUGAUUUAGCCCAUCAUUGGUACAAUGCUUUACUGGUUGGUCCCCUACUGGAUCUCAGAUAAUGAAAUCAUUCUUCUAUCAUUUUGUUAUUAUAGUCCUGAUUUUAUUGUGUAUGAUUUUAUAUAACUGUCACCUUAGUUGUACAUUGAGGAAGAGAGUACAGAAAUGAAUCCAUAAUGCAGAACAGAAACAAUUAGAAAUUCUCCUCUCUGCCACUGUAGAGUAUCAACCCAUCUUUAAACUGGGCCUUAGGAAUUACCACAUGGGAAUCGAGGUGAAGAAAUUAAUGAAAGUCCCGCAGGGAGUGACUAGCACCCCUGAAAAUACCAUGUGGAAGUUUCUCUGUCCUGGUAAGAUUUUAUCGAUAAGAUGAGCAAUUGUUUUAUUGCUCAAAGAGGGGAAUGUAAGAAUAUUAAAUAGUUAACUUGUUUAUAUGUAUUUUAUGCUUUUAUAAGGUUUAUAACAUGAUUAUUGCUGACUGAAGGGAUAUUGAAUACUUAAAGUCAAUAUGCUGACUGUGACAGACUAAGGUAUUUCUUCUAUAGGAUGUAAGACAAUGCUAAAUUUCAGGAUGUCUUGCCCAUUCCGAUUUUAAGGAUAUUCUUUUCCAGACGUAUGCAAAAGCUUAUCUUUCCAUUGUCAGAAUAACGUAAUAUAAGGAAGUAAUAAAUCUUAUAGUCUGUACUGUAUUUGCAUAUACCAUGGCUAAUGUAAGCAAACUAUGUAUAAAAGCCAGCUCUGGA
rnacentral:lncRNA from 1 species